CCUACGGGUGGCUGCAGUGAGGAAUAUUGGUCAAUGGGCGAGAGCCUGAACCAGCCAAGUCGCGUGAGGGAAGACGGUCCUACGGAUUGUAAACCUCUUUUGUCAAGGAGCAAGGAGCGCCACGAGUGGUUCGGCGAGAGUACCUGAAGAAAAAGCAUCGGCUAACUCCGUGCCAGCAGCCGCGGUAAUACGGAGGAUGCGAGCGUUAUCCGGAUUUAUUGGGUUUAAAGGGUGCGCAGGCGGGUUGUUAAGUCAGCGGGGAAAGCCCCGGGCUCAACCCCCGCCCCGCCGUUGAUACUGGCAGUCUCGAGUUGGAGAGAAGUAUGCGGAAUGCGCGGUGUAGCGGUGAAAUGCAUAGAUACCGCGCAGAACUCCGAUUGCGAAGGCAGCAUGCCGGCUCCACACUGACGCUGAGGCACGAAAGCGUGGGUAUCGAACAGGAUUAGAUACCCCGGUAGUC
rnacentral:rRNA from 1 species